rnacentral:ncRNA from 1 species
CGUUGGAUAGCACCCCAGGGUGUGAAAUCGUCUGCAAUCCGGACAGCACCGUACGGUGUGACGCUUUUUUUCAACCGGCUGCUUCGCAGCUGCUCA